rnacentral:rRNA from 1 species
CAGAUCACGUGGGGUGUUAGUCGUUGAACAAACGAACCUUUGACAGCUGUUGCGCCGUCGGGAUACCCCGAUCCAACAUCGAGGUCGUAGGUCUUCUUGUUAAUAUGGACUUUUGAGAAGGUAGCGCUGUUAUCCCCGGGGUAGCUUAUUUCAUUAAUCAGUGUGACUGGGUCAGUUUCAUGUCUUAGGCUUGUUAGUCUUGGUUGUGUUAGAAGUUAGUUUUUCCUAAAGUUGUCCCAACUAAAGUUAUUGCUUAGUUUGUGUAAGCAGGUUAUUAAGUUCCACGGGGUCUUUUUGUCUUGCUUCAGUAUGCCAGCUUUUGUACUGGCAGUUCAAUUUCAUUGGCGGGCUUUAGGAGACAGGUUUUCUCUCGUGCUGCCUUUCAUACGAGUCCCCAUUUAAAGGACAAGUGAUUGUGCUACCUUUGCACGGUUUUGGUGCCGCGGCCGUUUAGGGGUUCCACAGGGCAGGCGCUACUUCUAAUGGGUGUUUGGCUAGAAGCUAUGUUUUU